rnacentral:rRNA from 1 species
GCGAGCAGGAUCGUGAGUCAUCGAAAUUUUGAACGCAUAUUGCACUUCCGGGUUAGUCCUGGGAGUAUGCCUGUAUCAGUGUCCGUACACUAAACUUGGCUCCCUUCCUUCCGUGUAGUCGGUGGAUGGGGACGCGCAGAUGUGAAGUGUCUUGCGGCUGGUCUUCGGUCCGGCUGCGAGUCCUUUGAAAUGUACUACACUGUACUUCUCUUUGCUCGAAAAGCGUGACGUUGCUGGUUGUGGAGGCUGCCUGUGUGGCAUGUCGGCGACCGGUUUGUCUGCUGCGGCGUUUAAUGGAGGAGUGUUCGAUUCGCGGUAUGGUUGGCUUCGGCUGAACAGACGCUUAUUGGGUGCUUUUCCUGCUGUGGCUGGAUGGACUGGUGAACCGUAGCUGUGCUAGGCUUGGCGUUUGAACCGGCGGUGUGGUGCGAAGUAGGGUGUCUGUUCCGGCGUAAGCUGGGGUGGACGAGGGUCGAUCCAUUUGGGAAACGUUGUGUGCGCUUCGGCGCGCAUCUCAAUUGGACCUGAUAUCAGGCAAGAUUACCCGCUGAACUUAAGCAUAUCGGAAGGAA